rnacentral:rRNA from 1 species
AACGUAGGACACGAGCGUUAUCCGGAGUUAUUGGGCGUAAAGGGCUCGUAGGCGGUCUGUUGCGUCGGGAGUGAAAACUCAGGGCUUAACCCUGAGCCUGCUUCCGAUACGGGCAGACUAGAGGUAUGCAGGGGAGAACGGAAUUCCUGGUGUAGCGGUGAAAUGCGCAGAUAUCAGGAGGAACACCGGUGGCGAAGGCGGCAUCCUGGACCGGUAUUGACGCUGAGGCGCGAAAGCCAGGGGAGCAAACGGG